UAGUGUGGGUGGGUUACAGACAAGCAGAUGAAGUUCUAUGAGAGGGUUGGUAAGUCACACAAUCUUUGAAGCAGUUGCAGCAACUGCCCAGUAUUCAACCUUGAUGGAGGACCUGGCCACGAUUCGUUGUUUCUUAAAAAGCCACAAGAUGGAUUGCCUCCAAAGAAGAUUAUAUAGGCUGAAGUUGAGGUUUUGUCAUCGACAUUUCCUCCCCAAUCCGUAUCGGUGGCACGUGUUUAUGCCAAAUCAACAAAUCCUACAAGAUCGUACCCAAUGAGAAGAGCAUUAAGUUGUACUCUCCAAAUUGGGUAAUUAGUACCAUAUAGUUUGAUGGAAGACUAUGUGUUAAGGUCAACCACAGAUUGGGAAGCAUUAAAUAGAAUGUUGGUAGUAGUAGAAAUGGAUGAGAGAGUCAUGGUGUGUGAUUUAGGAUGGAUCAAUGUUGUCAAGCAAAAGCUCCUGAUACCAUAUAGAGAAAUUGAUUAUUACGUUUCAGAUGCUUGAUAAUGGAUCCAAUGGAUAAUAUUUAUACAGAAAGUUGAUCCUAUGUCCGAGAAAGGUUGUUGCUAAACAACCUAUCCAUUGAGAUAAUGAUAACAAUAAAUAACAUAUAUGUUAUAUAACAACUACAACUAAUGAUCAAGAUAAAACUAACAUGAUACAUUUGAAAUCAUUUGAAUUAUAAAUUCAAGUUGUAAUUAAGAUACACAUCAUUAUUCAAUAAAGUUCAAGUUUCAUA